CAGAGGCAACAAUUUGUUCAUAUGCUAUCAAAGGAUAAUUAAUCUGUGCUAAAGGGUCUGCAUACUGACCUUUUCCUACUAGUUGAUCAAAGGUGAUUUGUAUAUUAACUCCAGUUUGCCUAUUUAGUUUGGCUUGUAUUCUACAUAGUUCACUAUACUUCAAAAGCCACAAGUUGUGUCCAGGUUCUAAACAUGUACUUGCUAUAGAUUUCCAAUCACUAGGAGUUAAAAUUUCAUAAGCCAAAUUCUCUAAUAUCAUCUUAACAUAAGAUGAUGUAGCCCGUAGAUAAAGAGUGCAAUCCUUUUUCAGAUCUUUGAUAAUUUCCAGAUCAAAAGGAGUGUAUAUUCUCCUUGCUUGACCUGAAGAGUCAAACUCUUGAGUAACAGGGUAUGCUUUUAUUUUUAAAUCAGAUAUAUCCUGCCCUUCUUUUUUAGCUUUAACUAAUGCCUUUUGUAAUCUUGUCAUAGGGAGUGGACAAAAGCUCCUGCAUGUAUAGUGCUGAUUGUAUCCCUGCCCCUCCCCCUUCUCCUUCUCCCUCCACCCAUGAAGGGUUACUUGAGAAGAGUAGGUCAGGGGAUGGGGAAUGCUCUAAUGGGUCCUGCUGUGAAGCACCACACUCCUUAAUUUCAUCAGCAUUUACUUAACUCCUUUCUUGUCUAAUUUUUCGUGCUUUAAAACUGUUUUAUCAGUACCCUCUUCUGCUUUUUCUUCUUUUUCCUUAUUCUAAUACUUAUGUAAUUCCUUGAAGCCAAUUGUAUUAAGUUAUAUGUAUAGAAUGUUUCUUUAAAAAUUGAAUCAGGACCAUUAUCUUUGUAAUAUUAAAUUAAUUGCUCUCCUACUAGUUUCCACUCAUCUGGCUCUAAUUCUUCUUCCUUGGAGAAGCAAGGAGAUGUGUGUUUUAAUGUUUUGAAGAGUUCAAGGACCUGCUUCCAAGUUACAAUCAAGCCUUGGUUUUUUAUUAGUUUAACUAUGCUUUCUACACAUUUUCCUUGGGGUUCAAAAGGUGCUUUUCUAAACAUUUGUCCCAUUUCAGCUAAAACACUAGUUUGGCCCUUAACAGAGUUUCCUUCUUGUCUAUUUUUGUGCUCACCCUGAUUUUUGGGUCACAGAGACUAUUCCACUGAACUCAGGAUCAGAGACUUUUCCAUUGAACUCAGGAUCAGAGACUUUUCCACUAAACUCCAGAUUGUGUCAGUUUGGACUGUUGAGUGUAAAUCCUUAGUCUCACACUUGGGUGCCAAAAUGUAAUGUUCUAUUUAGCUUUCUGGAGGUCUUUGGACCAAGCCUUCAUUUCAGCACAAUAAUCACCACAAAAAUAGCCAGGGAUAAAGUCUAAAAGUCUUUAUUGUCUCUUUCACAGUCUGGCUUCUUCUUGACUGGGGCUCCUCAAGCUUUCUGGAGGGCCUUUGGACAGGCCUUGGUCUCAGUAUAGGAAAUGCAGGAGGAUAGGCCAGCUACUACGAUGGUGUCAGAUGGAAUGAAUGUCUCUCGUUGGCUCUGAGACUUUGAGCUCCAGCUUCUAGUCCUCUGUAUUCUCUGAGUCUGUCUCUGAGUCCUCUCUAGGUCUGACUCUGACUUCUUAAAUACUCUAUUACAAUUAAAUCCAUUCAUCAUACUGAGUAUAAACCAAUCAUUAUAUCACUAGGGGACCAUUAUUUAUUGUAAGAUUAAUUCAAUAAUACUGAACUAGGGAAUUAUUAAUCACCAUGCUAAACAAGAUGACUCCACAGAGUUAAAACCUUGUAAAAAUCCUUGUUUCAAGUAUAGAGUUCUGGCCCACUACACAAAAUAAAUAAGAAAGAAGUUAAAGAAGUAAAUAGAACACUAGGAAAGUUAGGUAUUAUAGAUCUUUGUAGAAAACUAAAUGGAGACAGAAAGGAGUAUACUUUCUUUUCAAUAGUUCAUGGAACCUAUAUAAAAAUUGACCAUAUAUUAAGACACAAAGAUCUCAAAUUCAAAUGAAGAAAGGCAGAAUGUAAAUGCAUCCUUUUCAGAUCACAAUGCAAUGAAAAUUACAUUCAAUAAAAAGUCAGGGGAAAAUAGACCAAAAAGUAAUUGGAAACUAAAUAAUCUCAUCCUAAAGAAUGAUUGGAUGAAACAGCAAAUCAUAGACACAAUAAUUUCACCCAAGAGAAUGACAUUAAUUAGAUGACAUACUGAAAUUUGUGGGAUGCAGCCAAAGCAGUAAUAAGGGGAAAUUUUAUGUCUCUGGAGGAGCACUUGCAUAAAAUAGACAAAGAGAAAAUCAAUGAAUUAGGUUUGCAACUAAAAAAAGCUAGAAAAAGAGCAAAUUAGAACCCCCCCAAUCAAACACUAAACUUGAAAUUCUAAAAAUAAAAGGAGAGAAUAAUAAAAUUGAAAGUAAAAAAAAAAAAACUGUUGAAUUAAUAAAACUAAGAAUUGAUUUUAUGAAAAAAAAAUAACAAAAUAAAUAAACCCUUGGUAAAUUUGAUUAGAAAAAAGAAAGAGGAAAAUAAAAUUGUUAGUCUUAAAAAUGAAAAGGAGGAGAACUUACCACCAGUGAAGAGGAAAUUAGAGCAAUAAUUAGGAGUUACUUUGCCCAACUUUUUGCCAAUAAAUUGAUAACAAAUGAAAUGGAUGAAUACCUUCAAAAAUAUAGGUUGCCCAGAUUAACAGAGGAAGAAAUAAAUUGAUUAAAUAGUCCCAUUUUAGAAAAAGAAAUAGAACAAUCUAUUAAUCAACUCCCUAAGAAAAAAUCCCCAGGACCAGAUGGAUUUACAUGUGAAUUCUAUCAAACAUUUAAAGAACAAUUAAUUCUAAUGCUAUAUAAACUAUUUGAAAAAAUGGGGAUUGAAGGAGUCUUACCAAAUUCCUUUUAUGACACAGACAUGGUACUGAUACCUAAACCAGGUAGGACGAAAACAAGAGAAAGAAAAUUAUAGACCAAUCUCCCUAAUGAACAUUGAUGCAAAAAUCUUAAAUAAAAUAUUAGCAAAAAGAUUACAGAAAAUCAUCCCCAGCAUAAUAUACUAUAACCAAGUAGGAUUUAUACCAGGAAUGCAGGGCUGGCUCACUAUUCGAAAAACUAUUAACAUAAUUGACUAUAUCAAUAACCAAAUUAACAAAAACCAUAGGUCAUCUCAAUAGAUGCAGAAAAAGCAUUUGAUAAAAUCCAACACCCAUUCCUAUUAAAAACACUAGAGAAUAUAGGAAUAAAUGGACUUCUCCUUAAAAUUGUAGCAUCUAUUUAAAACUAUUAUAACCAUCAUAUGUAAUGGUGCUAAACUGGAACCAUUCCCAAGAAAAUCAGGAGUGAAACAAAGUUGCCCACUAUCAUCAUUACUAUCCAAUAUUGUAUUGAAAAUGCUAGCUUAAGCAAUAAGAGAUGAAAAAGAGAUUAAAGGAAUUAGAGUAGGCAAUGAGGAAACCAAAUUAUCACUCUUUGCAGAUGAUAUGAUAGUAUACUUAGAGAACCUUAGAGAAUCAAUUAAAAAAUUACUUGAAACAAUUCACAAUUUUAGCAAAGUUGAAGGAUACAAAAUAAAUCUACAUAAAUCAUCAGCAUUUUUAUAUAUCACCAACAAUGUCCAGCAGCAAGAUAUACAAAAAGAAAUUCCAUUCAAAAUAACUGUUGUUAAUAUAAAAUAUUUAGGAAUCUAUCUGCCAAGGGAAAGUCAGGAACUAUACAAACACAACUACAAAACACUUUCCACACAAAUAAAGUCAGACCUAAUCAGUUGGAAAAAUAUCAAGUGCUCAUGGGUAGGCCUAGCGAAUAUAAUAAAAAUGACAAUAUUACCUAAAUUAAUCUAUUUAUUUAGUGCCAUACCAAUCAGACUCCCAAGAAAUUAUUUUACAGAUUUAGAAAAAAAUAGUAACAAAGUUCAUCUGGAAGAACAAAAGGUCAAGAAUUUCAAGGGAAGUAAUGAAAAAAAUGCUAAUGAAGGUGGUCUAGCUGUGCCAGAUCUAAUAUAUUAUAAAGUAGCAGUAAUCCAAAUUUGGAACUAUCUAAGAAAUAGAGUAGUUGAUCAGUGGAAUAGGUUAGGAUCAUAGGACAAAAUAGGCAAUAACUAUAGUAAUCUAGUAUUUGACCAACCCAAAGUCCCCAGCUUUUGGGAUAAGAACUCACUAUUUGACACAAACUGCUGGAAAAAUUGAAAACUAAUAUGAAAGAAAUUAGGACUCGACCCACACCCCACACCACAUACCUUGGUAAUAGUAAUCUUGAUAAGAUCUAAAUAGGUUUAUGAUUUAGACAUAAAGAGUGAUAUUAUAAACAAAUUAGCAGAACAUAGGAUAGUUUACCUCUCAGAUCUGUGGAGAAGGAAGGAAUUUGCAUCCAAAGAAAAACUGGAACUUAUAAUUGAACACCAGAUAGACAAUUUUGAUUAUAUUAAGUUAAAAAGUUCUUGAAAAACAACACUAAUGCAGACAAGAUAAGAAGGGAAGCAAUAAACUAGGAAAUCAUUUUCACAUUUAAGGGUUCUGAUAAAGGCCUCAUUUUUAAGAUAUGUAAACAAUUGACUCAAAUUUAUAAGAAUCUAAGCCAUUCUCCAAUUGAUAAAUGGUAAAAGAUAGGAACAGACAAUUUUCAGAUGAAGAAAUUGAAACCAUUUCUAGUCAUAUGGAAAGGUGCUCUAAAUCACUAUUAAUCAGAGAAAUACAAACUAAAACAACUCUGAGAUACCACUAUACACCUCUCAGAUUGACUAUGAUGACGGGAAAAAAUAAUGACAAAUGUUGGAGAGGAUGUAGGAAAACUGGGACACUGAUACAUUGUUGGUGGAGUUGUGAAUGGAUCUAGCCAUUCUGGAGAGCAAUUUGAAACUAUACUCAAAAAGUUAUCAAACUGUGCAUACCCUUUGAUCCAGCAUUAUUUCCAGGGCUUAUAUCCCAAAGAGAUCUUAAAGAAGUGAAAGGGACCCAUAUGUGCAAAAAUGUUUGUGGCAGCCUUUUUCAUAGUGGCUAGAAACUAGAAAUUAAGUGAAUGCCCAUCAAUUGGAGAAUGUCUGAAUAAGUUAUGGUAUAUGAAUGUCAUCAAAUAUUAUUUUUCUGUAAGAAAUGAUCAGGAGAAUGAUUUCAGAGAGUCCUGGAGAGACUUAUAUGAACUGAUGCUGAAUGAAAUGAGCAGAACCAGGAGAUCGGCAACAAGAAGGUUGUACAAUGAUCAAUUCUAAUGAAUGUGACUCUUUCCAACAAUGAGAUUAUUAAUGCCAAUUCCAAUCAUCUUGUAAUGAAGAGAGCCAUCUACACCCAGAGAGAGAACUGUAGGAAGUGAAUAUGGAUCACAACAUAACAUUCUCACUCUUUUUGUUGUUGUUCGCUUGCAUUUUUGUUUUCUUACUCAUUUAUUUUCUUUUUUUUUGAUCUGAUUUCUCUUGUGCAGCAAGAGAAUUAUAUAAAUAUGUUUAUACAUAUUUUAACAUAUGGCAAGCAAUUCAAUAUAUGUUAAACAUGCUAAAAUAUUUAACAUGCUAAAAUUUAACAUAUAUUGAAUUGCUUGCCAUCUAGGGGAGGAGGAGAAAAUCUGAAACACAAGGCUAUUCAGGGGUCAAUGUUGUCAAAUUAUCCGUACAUAUGUUUUGAAAAUAAAUAGCUUAAUAAAAAGAAAAAGAAAAAAGGAAAAAAAAGAAAAAUAGAUUGCAACUAGUUCAUGCAAAAUAGAUUUGGAAAAUUUGGAAGUUUGGAUGUUACCAGUAGAGUAUGGGGACACAUUGAAUAUUUCUGAGCAGAGCAGCAGUGUGGUUACAUUUGUGUUGUCUCAGAAGUCUUAUAGUGCAGUUUCUAAGCUACUAAUGCCUAGGCUUAUAAAGCUUAAAUUGACCUUAAGAUUUUUGGGAUACUAUUUUUCAGGUACCUGUAUAAAAGAUGGAUUGAAGAGGAAGAUAUUAGAGGAAAGCACACCAGUAAAGAAACUACUCUUUUGUUGUAAAUAAAAAUCUAAUAAUAUCUGAACUAAUGGAAAAUAAUAAAAAGAAUGGAAAAAUAAAUAAAUGAUAAAAAAUAAAUAAAUGGAAAAAAAUAAAAUGAAAAUGGAAAGGAAGGGAAUAGAUUUGAGAAAUAUUUGAAGAGAUGGAAAUGACAGACAACUGAUUAGAUGUAGAAUUAACAAAGAGAGUUUUCAAACUAGGCAGUAGGAAAGUUAAUAAUAGAGACAGUAGAGGUAAUGUGAAGUUUGUUGUGGACAUGUUAAGUUGGAGGUAUUGGUAUUAACCUCCAAGAGAAGAUACUCACCAGAUGGCCAAAAAUAUAGGACCAGUUCUCAGGAGAGAAAUGAAGGCUGAAAAUAUUCAUUGACACCUGUUCUGUAGUUACCUGUUCACUCUCAGCAAUUCCCUUUUUCUUCCUAAAAUUACAGCCUUUCAGAUCUAAUAGGGGAUAGAGAGAAAGAUGGGAGCCAGCCAUGUCACCAUCAUCUUCACCAUCUUUCCUCACCAGUUGGAGACAAUCCCACAUCCUGACCUGAUAACCAUGGAAAUGGCAAUACUUCUAGCCUGUGCCCAUAACUGUCAUCUUAGCAACUGCUUUGGAAAUUCAGCAUGGCAUUUGCUCCUACAGGUGCUACAACCACAUCUACUGAAAAUUCAGAAAAAGCAAGUUAUCGUCACCAAUGUUUUUAGUACUGAUAUUUGCUUUAAUGUCAGAAAUUCAAAUGAUUUUCAGUGAAAAAUGGCGUUUAAAAGAAGCAUUACCAUAUUUGUUGCUGCACCCUAAGGAAUAACCCUUUCCACCUGACUUGCAGAUAAAACCUUCCCAAUGUGUUAUCUUCCACCAUUAGAAUGCAAAUUCUUAGAUUGCAGGAACUGUUUUACUUUUUUGUUUGUAAUUCCAGCACUUCUUUUAUAGAAGAAAAUAACCUGUGGGGUUGACAUCUUGAAAUCAAGCCUUCUGAUUGAAUACAGAAAUUGAAUACAGAAAAGGAACUGGACAAGGAAUUCAAGCUGGGUCUACUACAAUAAAGAUCCACUUAAGACAAGAAAAGGACUAUGUAAGAACAAAAAGCCCACUAAAGACAGAGAACAUCUUAUCUGUGCUUCUUAUUGCUUAUCUCAGGAAGUAGCUGCAAGAGUAAAAUUCAGGCCCUGUCCUAUUACUAUGCCUCCCUAAGGUCUAUGAAGCUGCCUAGGACCAGGGGUCUUUUUGUUGGGAUGUUCUUCAUUUCAUUACUUUUUUCCAUCAUUAAGAGUUAAACUUUAAAAAUAUAUUUUUUUAAAUUUUUGUGUAUUAUAUAUUUUUAAAUUUAUGAUUUUUAAAACGUUGCCAUCAACAGUACUACUGUUAAUAUUUUGUUAUCUGUCUUAUCUAUCCACCUAUCUGCAUAUCUAUUUAGCAGACCUUUGUUUCUGUCCUUGACUUCCUUGAAGUCAUUUCUUGAGGAAUUGCUGAAUGAAGGGUAUAGACAGCUUUGUGACUUUCCUUACAUAAUUAUAAAUUCAAAUUCAGAAUAGGUGGACUAUGUCACAAAUCCCCAACAAGUUUCCUGGCUUCUCUUCCCAAUAUUAUUUCCAUAUUUUUCAUCUUUGCUUCAUUGACCAAUUAUAGAUCUAAAGUGAUAAAGAGUUAGUUACCAAUAAUUUAUUAAGAAUUUACUCUCUGGACUUACAUGAACUGAUGCUAAAAGAAGUGAGCAGAACCAGGAGAUCAUUGUACAUGGAAACAAUAAGAUUAUAUGAUGAUUAAUUCUGAAGCAUGUGGCUCUUCUCAACAAUGAGAUGACUGGUGGCCAUUCCAGACGUCUUGUUGAUAAAGAGAGCCAUUUACACCCAGAGAUUGGACUAUGAGAAUUGAAUGUGGAUCACAAUAUAGUAUUUUUUACUGUUUUUUGUUGUUUGCUUGUAUUUUGCUUUCUUUCUCAUUUUUUGAUGUGAUUUUUCUUGUGCAGCACAGUAAUUGGAAUAUGCAUAGAAGAAUUCCACAUGUGUAACAUAUAUUGGAUUACUUGUCAUCUAGAGGAGAGGGUGAGUGGAAGGGGGGGAAAUUUUGAUGCACAAGGUUUUGCAUGGAUCAGUGUUGAAAAAUUAUCUCUGCAUUUGUUUUGAAAAUAAAAAGCUUAAAAAAAAAAAAAAAAGAA